GUGGCUGAAGUCAUGAGAGUCAUAAACAGCUUGGACAGAGCAGUUCUCAGAAAGAGGCCAGGAAUAUAUAGGAUGAAAUGUAAGCAAUGUUCCAGAAUGUCUAAAGACUGCAACAGAGUCUCUCUAUAGAAUCAAGUUUUCAGACUAAUUGUGUGCCAGCUCUUCUAAAGAAAAAUGAGAGUAAUAAAAUUGAGAAAAUCUUAAAUUAGUCAAAGAAAUGGAGAGAAGGCAACAGAGGAAGAGAAAAACAACAAAAAAAAAAGGUUCAGGAAUUUUUCCAAGGCCUUGCAGCUCUUAAGUAUGAAGUUAGGAUUCUGGUCCAAGAAGUUUGACUCCGGUAUGCAGAAAACAAGACAUGCACUCAUUAAUUGAAGAGACAACCUAAAUUCACCAAAAUUACCAAUAGAGACUACACCAGAUGGGGUGAUCACACAAAGGAAACAUUCUAUUUUCAGCAAACCAGGAGAUCACAGGGGAUAACUUCUAAAGCCUUGACUCCCUAAGGUGUGACUGCUUCUUUACACAUUUACAUCACAUGCUUUGUGCUGAAGUAUGUUAAGCACGGAGUCUUCUACACCAGCUUCCUGGAUAAAAGUGAUUUUAAACCCUGGCCUUGGACCACUGGAUUAGGCUUCAUCAAAGAAAAGUAGUUGAGGGGCAAAAGGACUAUAAAUUUACCAUCUGCUCUAAGACUUUUUGGCCAUAAAGACCGCAGUUAAAACUAUGUUAAUAGCUCAGUUCAGACAAGAAUGAUUCCUUAAUUUUCAUGUCUUAUAGGGUACCCAGGAUAAUGGAGAAGUCACUAUCUGAGCGUUGCUGUUAGUCAAGGCAGAGGAAAACAAGUACUCUGGAGAGCCUCACACUGAUGAGUUUCUAAAGAGUAGAUGAAAAUGGAAACUAAAUAUCCCUCUGCAAAAAACUGCAACCAAAUCCCAAAUUCAGGAUCUUAUAAGUUAAAAUUUAAGACAUCAUUUGAAACCUUUAGAGGAGGCAAACUGCACAAAUGAAAGCUGAACUUUAUAAAACCAAACAGCACAAAACAAAAACAUCCUAUUUUUUUCAAUAAUCCUUUAUCAUCAUUCAUUUAAACUGAAUUUGAGCUUAAUAAAUUUUACUCCUGCAAUGUCUAGGAAGGAAAAAA